UUGUUUUCCUGGCACUCCGCCUGAAGGCGGGCAUCAUCUCCCCUAUAAAAACGACAUUGUUCCUGCAUCCUGCCGUAUUGGAAUACAUUCCGCCAUCGGAGCACCAACAGAAAGAAACAUAAUGCAGCGUGCAGUGAUCGCCAUCUUUGUGCUCGUCCUCGUGGCCUGCGCCUUGGUUGCCGUUGAAGCCCAAUUCGGCAGAGGCGGGUUUGGAGGUGGCCGUGGCUUCGGCGGUGGUCGUGGCUUCGGAGGAGGCUUCGGCGGUGGCCGUGGAUUCGGAGGAGGCUUCGGCGGUGGUCGUGGAUUCAGAGGAGGCUUCGGCGGUGGUCGUGGAUUCGGUGGUGGCCGUGGAUUCUAUGGUUGAUCAUUCUGCUGACUGUUUCAACUGAAGGCACGGCGAGCUCCCAUUCCUGCAAGGAUACUACCGUCCAGGCAAACUGCCAUUCAAUUUGUAAAAUAAUAUAUAUGUUUGACGAACUCUGCUGGUCAAAGGACGCAAAUAAACACUUUUCUAAACAGUGAA